UACGGAGGGGGCGAGCGUUAUUCGGAAUUAUUGGGCGUAAAGGGCGCGUAGGCGGCCUUGUAAGUCAAAGGUGAAAUCCCUCGGCUCAACUGAGGAACUGCCUUUGAAACUGCAAGGCUUGAGGCCGGGAGGGGGUAGCGGAAUUCCCAAUGUAGCGGUGAAAUGCGUAGAUAUUGGGAGGAACACCAGUGGCGAAGGCGGCUACCUGGACCAGUUCUGACGCUGAGGCGCGAAAGCGUGGGUAGCAAACAGG
rnacentral:rRNA from 1 species